UGGUAGUNCACGCCGUAAACGAUGAGUGCUAGGUGUUAGGCCCUUUCCGGGGCUUAGUGCCGGAGCUAACGCAAUAAGCACUCCGCCUGGGGAGUACGACCGCAAGGUUGAAACUCAAAGGAAUUGACGGGGGCCCGCACAAGCGGUGGAGCAUGUGGUUUAAUUCGAAGCAACGCGAAGAACCUUACCAGGUCUUGACAUCCCGAUGCUAUUCUUAGAGAUAGGAAGUUACUUCGGUACAUCGGAGACAGGUGGUGCAUGGUUGUCGUCAGCUCGUGUCGUGAGAUGUUGGGUUAAGUCCCGCAACGAGCGCAACCCUUAUUGUUAGUUGCCAUCAUUAAGUUGGGCACUCUAGCGAGACUGCCGGUAAUAAACCGGAGGAAGGUGGGGAUGACGUCAAAUCAUCAUGCCCCUUAUGACCUGGGCUACACACGUGCUACAAUGGUCGGUACAACGAGUUGCGAGCCGGUGACGGCAAGCUAAUCUCUGAAAGCCGAUCUCAGUUCGGAUUGGAGGCUGCAACUCGCCUCCAUGAAGUCGGAAUCGCUAGUAAUCGCGGAUCAGCACGCCGCGGUGAAUACGUUCCCGGGCCUUGUACACACCGCCCGUCACACCACGAGAGUCUGUAACACCCGAAGUCGGUGAGGUAACCUUUUAGGGNC
rnacentral:rRNA from 1 species